GGUAGUAGUGGCAGUUGGCGAAGGGUCUUUAUGACUCAGGAAAGUCCGCCCACCAUGAAACGUUGCCCUUGUUUAAGGGAUGGAGAAAUCCAUGGCUCUGGCUCAGAAACGACACGUCCAUAACCGAGAAUGAUUUUAUGUAAGGAUUGAAGUUAAACUCUUCAUUCUUGCUGGCGAAGUGUUCAGUAAUGAACAUCAGUUAACCCAAUGACGUUGGUUAUGGGAACGAUGAAACGGCGAAUCCCAAUGGGUGCAAGUCAGUAUGACGCAUAGUAGAAUGCCAAUAUGAACCAUCGUUGUUCAUUCAUGAACAAUUUGGGUUCAACAGAAGGCGGCUUAUGUCACUCUACC
rnacentral:RNase_P_RNA from 1 species